GACGAACGCUGGCGGCGUGCCUAAUACAUGCAAGUCGAACGCAGUGGGGACGGGUGAGUAACACGUGGGUAACCUCCCAUCAGAGGGGAUAACACUUGGAAACAGGUGCUAAACCGAUACUAGUGGAUGGACCCGCGGUUCAUUAGCUAGUGGGUGAGGUAACGGCUCACAAAGGCCAGGAUGCAUAGCCUACCUGAGAGGGUGAUCGGCCACACGGGGACUGAGACACGGCCCAGACGCCUACGGGAGGCAGCAGGAGGGAAUCUUCGGCAAUGGACGAAAGUCUGAACGAGCAACGCCGCGUGAGUGAAGAAGGUUUUCGGAUCGUAAAACUCUGUUGUUAGAGAAGCGGUAUCUAACCAGAAAGCCACGGCUAACUACGUGCCAGCAGCCGCGGUAAUUC
rnacentral:rRNA from 1 species